AGGGUCAGACAAGGACAAUAAGUCACCCGCUCUCCCUCAUGACCUGAGAUAGAUAUUAAUGGAUGAUAACCUGUAGAGGAUCACCUAAACUGCACUCUUACACUUGGCAUGUUUGGGGGUUGCGGAAAAUCUAACUCUCUCUCUUAUUUCCUGGAGUACGAGACCAAGAGCCUCUCCACCCCGCCCACCAAAUCACACCUUGCCUGCCUGACAUCCCCAAGUCCUCCCCCCACACACCCACAAUGCCUUACACAGCAGUUCACUUACAUGCCAAGCUUACCACAAGGAUUUACAAAAAUUAAACUAACCAAAUCUAACAUCUGGAUAUAAGUAGACCUGGAACUGUACACGGAGCCACUGACAUGAGAGCCUGAAGUAUAGGAGAUUUGAAAGCGUUGCGGCAGAAGUCUGGGGUGGCAGUAAUUAGGUUAUUUUAGGUUUACUUAGGUUAGGUUAGUUUAUAGCAUUGUGUGCCUUCAUAUUAUGGUCAAAGGGAGUACAUUUUAGAAAUUGGGGAGUCAGGGGGGCAGCAACAGCAGUCCAGGAGCAAUAAAAAUUGUUAGUUUAGCUUUGCCAAGGUGAGGUUAAUUAAUAGAAAUGUGCACCUUCAAAAUUAGGUUAGUUUAGGUUCGCCAAGGUUAGGUUAAUUAAUAGAAAUGUGCACCUUCAAAAUUAGGUUAGUUUAGGUUCGCCAAGGUUAGGUUAAUUAAUAGAAAUGUGCACCUUCAAAAUUAGGUUAGUUUAGCUUUGCCAAGGUUGGGUUAUUAAUUGAAAUGUGCACCUUCAAAAUUAGGUUAGUUUAGCUUUGCCAAGGUUGGGUUAUUAAUAGAAAUGUGCACCUUCAAAAUUACGUUAGUUUAGGUUCAUCAAGGUUAGGUUAAUUAAUAGAAAUGUGCACCUUCAAAAUUACGUUAGUUUAGGUUCAUCAAGGUUAGGUUAAUUAAUAGAAAUGUGCACCUUCAAAAUUACGUUAGUUUAGGUUCAUCAAGGUUAGGUUAAUUAAUAGAAAUGUGCACCUUCAAAAUUACGUUAGUUUAGGUUCAUCAAGGUUAGGUUAAUUAAUAGAAAUGUGCACCUUCAAAAUUACGUUAGUUUAGGUUCAUCAAGGUUAGGUUAAUUAAUAGAAAUGUGCACCUUCAAAAUUACGUUAGUUUAGGUUCAUCAAGGUUAGGUUAAUUAAUAGAAAUGUGCACCUUCAAAAGUAGGUUAGUUUAGAUUUGCCAAGAGUUACUUUAAUUAAUAGCAAUGUGCAUCUUCAAAAUUAGUUUAGUAUAGGUUCGCCAAGGUUAGGUUGAUUAAUAGCAAUGUGCACCUUCAUAUUAUGGUUAGAGGGAGUAUAUUUUAGGAACUGGGGAGUCGGGGGGCAGCAACAGCAGUCAAGAGCAGUAAAAAAUAGGUUAGUUUAGAUUUGGUUAAAUAAAAUUAGUUUUUAACCCUAUAUAGCUUCAUGUUAUAGUUAAAAGGUAUGUAUUUUAAGAAUGGUAGAGUUGAGGGGGGGUGCGGCAGAAGUAUGGGGCAGUAUCAAUUUAGUUAGUAUACUUUUGCUUGGGGCUAGAUUGAUUUAAAACAAUGUGUGCUAUAGUAUUAUGAUUAAAAGGCGUAUAUUUCAAGAAUAGGAGGGUCGAGGGGGAUGCGGAAGAAGUCUGGGGCAGCAAAAAUUAGGUUAGAUUAGUUUAUACCAAUGUGCGCCUUCAUAUUAUGGUUAAAGAGAAUAUAUUUGAGGAAAGGGAGAGUCGAGAGUGCAGCGGCAGAAGUCUGGGGCAGCAAAAAAUUAGGUUGGUUUAGAUUUACUUCAUUUAGGUUAGUUUAUAGCAAUGUGCGCCUUCAUGUUAUGGUUAAAGAGAGUUUUAGGAAUUAGCGAGUCAGGGGAAUGUAGAGGCAGUCCAGGGCAGCAGUAGUUAGGUUAGUUUAGAUAUGGUUCGGUUUAGUUAGUUUAUAGCAAUGUGAACCUUCAUAUUAUAGUUAGAGUGUUAUAGGAAUUAGCGAGUCGGGGGAAGAUAGCAGCAGUCCAGGGCAGCAGUAGUUAAGUUAGUUUAGAUUUGGUUAGGUUAGUUUAUAGCAAAGUGUGGCUUAAAACUAUGCUAGAAGGGUGUGUAUUUAAUCUUUCCUCCUCUUCCUAUUUUUCUUAACUUUCUCUAUUUUCCUCAUUCUCUUAACUUCCUGUCUGUAUCUA